GAUGAACGCUCGCUACAGGCUUAACACAUGCAAGUCGAGGGGCAGCAUGGUCUUAGCUUGCUAAGGCCGAUGGCGACCGGCGCACGGGUGAGUAACACGUAUCCAACCUGCCGUCUACUCUUGGACAGCCUUCUGGAAGGAAGAUUAAUACAAGAUGGCAUCAUGAGUUCACAUGUUCACAUGAUUAAAGGUAUUCCGGUAGACGAUGGGGAUGCGUUCCAUUAGAUAGUAGGCGGGGUAACGGCCCACCUAGUCUUCGAUGGAUAGGGGUUCUGAGAGGAAGGUCCCCCACAUUGGAACUGAGACACGGUCCAAACUCCUACGGGAGGCAGCAGUGAGGAAUAUUGGUCAAUGGGCGAGAGCCUGAACCAGCCAAGUAGCGUGAAGGAUGACUGCCCUAUGGGUUGUAAACUUCUUUUAUAAAGGAAUAAAGUCGGGUAUGUAUACCCGUUUGCAUGUACUUUAUGAAUAAGGAUCGGCUAACUCCGU
rnacentral:rRNA from 1 species